rnacentral:rRNA from 1 species
UACGGGGGGGGGCAAGCGUUGUUCGGAAUUACUGGGCGUAAAGGGCUCGUAGGUGGCCAACUAAGUCAGACGUGAAAUCCCUCGGCUUAACCGGGGAACUGCGCCUGAUACUGGAUGGCUUGAGUUCGGGAGAGGGAUGCGGAAUUCCAGGUGUAGCGGUGAAAUGCGUAGAUAUCGGGAGGAACACCGGUGGCGAAGGCGGUUCUCUGGGCCUUACCUGACGCUGAGGAGCGAAAGCGUGGGGAGCGAACAGG